GGCUGGGUCUGAGAUAGUGAGUUAUUUCAUUGGUGUUCACAGUCUGUUACAGAUUGAACUCCUCUUCCACACUUUCCCUCUNCUCACUCCUGCACUUGACUAGUCUAAA
rnacentral:Y_RNA from 1 species